rnacentral:rRNA from 1 species
GACAGAGGUGCCGAGCGUUAGGCGGAAUCACUGGGCUUAAAGCGUGUGUAGGCGGGCCGUUAAGUAUCUUGUGAAAUCCCCCGGCUCAACCGGGGAAUGGCUGGAUAUACUGGCGGUCUUGAGCGAUCUAGGGGCAGAUGGAACAAGUGGUGGAGCGGUGAAAUGCGUAGAUAUGCGGAGGAACACCGAUGGCGAAGGCAAUCCCCUGGGCCUGCACUGACGCUCAUGCACGAAAGCGUGGGGAGCAAACAGG